UGGUUAACAGAGGGAAGCAAGACCGCGAGGUGGAGCAAAUCCCUAAAAGCCAUCCCAGUUCGGAUUGCAGGCUGCAACCCGCCUGUAUGAAGUUGGAAUCGCUAGUAAUCGCGGAUCAGCAUGCCGCGGUGAAUACGUUCCCGGGCCUUGUACACACCGCCCGUCACACCAUGAGAGUCGGGAACACCCGAAGUCCGUAGCCUAACCGCAAGGGGGGCGCGGCCGAAGGUGGGUUCGAUAAUUGGGGUGAAGUCGUAACAAGGUACC
rnacentral:rRNA from 1 species